CUUUAAGCAUAUAAAUUGCCUUAUCAGUUAGCUAGUUUGCUAGUUUAGCUGGAUAAUUGUAGCUAGCGCUCUCUUAGCUCUCAGGAUAAUCCUCCAUGGACAUGGAAUCUUCUAACUUGGAUGGACGAGGGAAAAAAGGGAAGGAGUAGAGAAGUUAUCCAGCCUGCUGACUAAGAAAUGGAAAUAGCCUAUGCUUUGCUGUCUAUCUCUCUCUAUCUCUCUCCGUCUGUCUGCCUGCCUGCCUAACUGACAUAUUGCUGAAGGGCAACAUAGUCAAUGUACUUGCUAGGCCAAGCCUAACUUAGUGAAGACCUUGAUUUGUCUCUGUCUUUACAGUUCCUGAAACAUGUCAAUGGCCUGAUGCAUGGCCUCUACAGAGGUGGUUGGCCACCCACUCAGUUACCAGUGACCUAUUCUGCCACAUCCCAGGGAAUUGAGAGCGCAGGACCACCCCUUCUUAAAUCCAUAGUAAUUGACACAGAGGGUUCUACCUGGAACCCAAAACGGUUCAAACUGGAACCAAAAAGGCUUUGCCUAUGAGGACAGCUGAACAACCUUUUGGACCCUUGUUUCUAAGAGUGUAGUGUGCAAAAGCCUUGUGUCCUGAUUCAACAGACACCUCCCCUGGUGAGUCAUGUAAAGUUUCCUGAUUCA
rnacentral:lncRNA from 1 species